AGAUUGAACGCUGGCGGCAGGCCUAACACAUGCGAGUCGAGCGGUAGAGAGGUGCUUGCAUCUCUUGAGAGCGGCGGACGGGUGAGUAAUGCCUAGGAAUCUGCCUAGUGGUGGGGGAUAACGUUCGGAAACGGACGCUAAUACCGCAUACGUCCUACGGGAGAAAGCGGGGGACCUUCGGGCCUCGCGCCAUUAGAUGAGCCUAAGUCGGAUUAGCUAGUUGGUGAGGUAAUGGCUCACCAAGGCGACGAUCCGUAACUGGUCUGAGAGGAUGAUCAGUCACACUGGAACUGAGACACGGUCCAGACUCCUACGGGAGGCAGCAGUGGGAAUAUUGGACAAUGGGCGAAAGCCUGAUCCAGCCAUGCCGCGUGUGUGAAGAAGGUCUUCGGAUUGUAAAGCAACUUUAAGUGGAGAAGGUUGUAACCUAAUACGUUGCAACUUUGACGUUACCGACAGAAUAAGCACCGGCUAAACUUCGUGCCAGCAGACCGG
rnacentral:rRNA from 1 species